AGAGAGGGAGCGCGCCUUGGCUCGCUGGCCUUGGCGGCGGCUCCUCAGGAGAGCUGGGGCGCCCACGAGAGGAUCCCUCACCCGGGUCUCUCCUCAGGGAUGACAUCAUCCGUCCACCUCCUUGUCUUCAAGGACCACCUCCUCUCCAUGCUGAGCUGCUGCCAAGGGGCCUGCUGCCCAUCUACACCUCACGAGGGCACUAGGAGCACGGUUUCCUGGAUCCCACCAACAUACAAAGCAGCCACUCACUGACCCCCAGGACCAGGAUGGCAAAGGAUGAAGAGGACCGGAACUGACCAGCCAGCUGUCCCUCUUACCUAAAGACUUAAACCAAUGCCCUAGUGAGGGGGCAUUGGGCAUUAAGCCCUGACCUUUGCUAUGCUCAUACUUUGACUCUAUGAGUACUUUCCUAUAAGUCUUUGCUUGUGUUCACCUGCUAGCAAACUGGAGUGUUUCCCUCCCCAAGGGGGUGUCAGUCUUUGUCGACUGACUCUGUCAUCACCCUUAUGAUGUCCUGAAUGGAAGGAUCCCUUUGGGAAAUUCUCAGGAGGGGGACCUGGGCCAAGGGCUUGGCCAGCAUCCUGCUGGCAACUCCAAGGCCCUGGGUGGGCUUCUGGAAUGAGCAUGCUACUGAAUCACCAAAGGCACGCCCGACCUCUCUGAAGAUCUUCCUAUCCUUUUCUGGGGGAAUGGGGUCGAUGAGAGCAACCUCCUAGGGUUGUUGUGAGAAUUAAAUGAGAUAAAAGAGGCCUCAGGCAGGAUCUGGCAUAGAGGAGGUGAUCAGCAAAUGUUUGUUGAAAAGGUUUGACAGGUCAGUCCCUUCCCACCCCUCUUGCUUGUCUUACUUGUCUUAUUUAUUCUCCAACAGCACUCCAGGCAGCCCUUGUCCACGGGCUCUCCUUGCAUCAGCCAAGCUUCUUGAAAGGCCUGUCUACACUUGCUGUCUUCCUUCCUCACCUCCAAUUUCCUCUUCAACCCACUGCUUCCUGACUCGCUCUACUCCGUGGAAGCACGCUCACAAAGGUUCCCAGUGCCCCCGACAAGCCCCUGCUGGUGUCUCCAUCUCCUGCCAAGCAUCCUCCAGUGCCUCCUCCUGUGGGCCUGGCCUCAGGGCUAUGGACAGACUCCUGUCCCAUCCCAGAGACCCCUCGUGAUCGUGCCCUGUAGUCACCCCACUCCACCGAAAAGUAAACUGCAGGCACGUGGGCCGUGGCCCGGCUGGGUCGGCUGAAGAACUGCGGAUGGAAGCUGCGGAAGAGGCCCUGAUGGGGCCCACCAUCCCGGACCCAAGUCUUCUUCCUGGCGGGCCUCUCGUCUCCUUCCUGGUUUGGGCGGAAGCCAUCACCUGGAUGCCUACGUGGGAAGGGACCUCGAAUGUGGGACCCCAGCCCCUCUCCAGCUCGAAAUCCCUCCACAGCCACGGGGACACCCUGCACCUAUUCCCACGGGACAGGCUGGACCCAGAGACUCUGGACCCGGGGCCUCCCCUUGAGUAGAGACCCGCCCUCUGACUGAUGGACGCCGCUGACCUGGGGUCAGACCCGUGGGCUGGACCCCUGCCCACCCCGCAGGAACCCUGAGGCCUAGGGGAGCUGUUGAGCCUUCAGUGUCUGCAUGUGGGAAGUGGGCUCCUUCACCUACCUCACAGGGCUGUUGUGAGGGGCGCUGUGAUGCGGUUCCAAAGCACAGGGCUUGGCGCACCCCACUGUGCUCUCAAUAAAUGUGU
rnacentral:lncRNA from 1 species